GUACGGGAGGCAGCAGUGGGGAAUAUUGCACAAUGGGGGAAACCCUGAUGCAGCCAUGCCGCGUGUGUGAAGAAGGCCUUCGGGUUGUAAAGCACUUUCAGUAGGGAGGAAAGGGUGUAGUUUAAUACGCUAUAUCUGUGACGUUACCUACAGAAGAAGGACCGGCUAACUCCGUGCCAGCAGCCGCGGUAAUACGGAGGGUCCGAGCGUUAAUCGGAAUUACUGGGCGUAAAGCGUGCGCAGGCGGUUUGUUAAGCGAGAUGUGAAAGCCCUGGGCUCAACCUAGGAAUAGCAUUUCGAACUGGCGAACUAGAGUCUUGUAGAGGGGGGUAGAAUUCCAGGUGUAGCGGUGAAAUGCGUAGAGAUCUGGAGGAAUACCGGUGGCGAAGGCGGCCCCCUGGACAAAGACUGACGCUCAUGCACGAAAGCGUGGGGAGCAAACAGGAUUAGAUACCCCGGUAGUCCG
rnacentral:rRNA from 1 species